UGCUACACAUGAAAUUUUGCGGAUGCCUA
rnacentral:sRNA from 1 species